rnacentral:rRNA from 1 species
AUUGAACGCUGGCGGCAUGCCUUACACAUGCAAGUCGAACGGCAGCACGGGAGCAAUCCUGGAGGCGAGUGGCGAACGGGUGAGUAAUAUAUCGGAACGUGCCCAGUCGUGGGGGAUAACGCAGCGAAAGCUGUGCUAAUACCGCAUACGAUCUACGGAUGAAAGCGGGGGAUCGCAAGACCUCGCGCGAUUGGAGCGGCCGAUAUCAGAUUAGCUAGUUGGUGAGGUAAAGGCUCACCAAGGCGACGAUCUGUAGCUGGUCUGAGAGGACGACCAGCCACACUGGAACUGAGACACGGUCCAGACGCCUACGGGAGGCAGCAGUGGGGAAUUUUGGACAAUGGGCGAAAGCCUGAUCCAGCAAUGCCGCGUGCAGGAUGAAGGCCUUCGGGUUGUAAACUGCUUUUGUACGGAACGAAACGGUGAGCUCUAAUACAGUUUGCUAAUGACGGUACCGUAAGAAUAAGCACCGGCUAACUACGUGCCAGCAGCCGCAGUAA